rnacentral:rRNA from 1 species
AGGACGAACGCUGGCGGCGUGCUUAACACAUGCAAGUCGAACGGAAAGGCCCUCUUUUGGGGGUGCUCGAGUGGCGAACGGGUGAGUAACACGUGGGUGAUCUGCCCUGCACUUCGGGAUAAGCUUGGGAAACUGGGUCUAAUACCGGAUAGGACUACGAAUCGCAUGGUUUGUGGUGGAAAGCUUUUGCGGUGUGGGAUGGGCCCGCGGCCUAUCAGCUUGUUGGUGGGGUGAUGGCCUACCAAGGCGACGACGGGUAGCCGGCCUGAGAGGGUGUCCGGCCACACUGGGACUGAGAUACGGCCCAGACUCCUACGGGAGGCAGCAGUGGGGAAUAUUGCACAAUGGGCGCAAGCCUGAUGCAGCGACGCCGCGUGAGGGAUGACGGCCUUCGGGUUGUAACCUCUUUCAGUACCGACGAAGCGCAAGUGACGGUAGGUACAGAAGAAGCACCGGCCAACUACGUGCCAGCAGCCGCGGUAA